GAUAUUCUCCUGAACAAUCUGAAGUCACAACCACCACCUUGAAACCUCCAGGAAGUCAAUGUUGCAAACUCACUUAAUUUUAUUAUUAAGUCUUGCCCCAUGAAAUAUUUGCGAGAUGGAGCCAACAGCUAAGGGACGGACUGAGAAGAGUUUCAGCUAUGUCAUCAGAGCCCCCAGCAGUGAGGGGUUCGACAUAAUGAACGUUGAUGUGAAGAUUGACACAUCCUGGAUAUUCCAGGACAUGGAAGAUAGUGCUGAGGAGCAGGCAGGUCUUCAGGAAGAAGCAGCUGGUCACCCAGACGUGGAUACGGGGGCCCUCAGGAGGCAGCUGGAGUCCUCCCAGCAGAAGCUGUCAGCAGCGGUGGACAAGUACGUGACAUCAGAGUCCGGGCUGAGAAGCAGAAUUCAGGAGCUGGAGCUGUCAGAGAGGAAACUCCUCCGGAAGGUGGACCAGCUGAACAUCCACGUGGCUCAGGAGAGAAGCGCCUGGCUGCAGGCCCAGGAGAAGCUGGCCGCGCUGCAGGGGGAGCUGGCCAGCCAGAUCCGGGAGAAGGAGAGCGUGGCCAGGCGGCAGCAGUGGCGGCUGCGGCGGUUGCAGGAGCGGUUGCGGCGCAAGGACGAGGCACUGGGGCAGCAGGCGGCGGCCCUGGAGCGCUGCCGGCGGACCCAGCGGCGCCAGCUGGGCCUGGUGCGCGAGCAGGAAUGCGUCCUGCGGGCACAGGUGCAGCGGCUGGAGCUCGACGUGCGACGCCUCUGCCACGCCGCGGGCCUCCUGCUGGCCCAGCGGGACAUCGCGGCCUCGGGCCUCCAGAGCGCCCCCGAGGCGACCGCGGAACUGCGCGCCCUGCAGGCGAGGGCAGAGCGCAGCGAGCACGAGCGAGAGGAGGCAGCGCGCAGGCUGCAGCAGCACAGGGCCACAGAGCGCCAGCUCCGCGGGCAGCUGGAGGAGCUGCGCUGCUUCAUCUAUGGGCUGAAACUGUCAGAGAUCGGCCUGCAGUGCCAGGUGGAGGACCUCACCCAGCAGAACCAGUGCCUGCGAGAGGAGCUGGGAGCCCAGGCCCCUGUUGGUCACUGCAGCCUGGUAAGUGGCAGCAACCCAGGGCAGGAGUGA
rnacentral:lncRNA from 1 species